rnacentral:rRNA from 1 species
GACGAACGCUGGCGGCGUGCUUAACACAUGCAAGUCGAACGGCAAGGCCCUGCUUGCAGGGUACUCGAGUGGCGAACGGGUGAGUAACUCGUGGGUGAUCUGCCCUGCACUUUGGGAUAAGCUUGGGCAACUGGGUCUAAUCCCGGAUAGGAACCAUCAUUAGUGUGGUGGUUGGAAAGUUUUUACGGUGUAGGAGGAGCUCGCGGCCUAUCAGCUUGUUGGCGGGGUAAUGGCCUACCAAGGCGGCGACGGGGAGCCGGCCUGAGAGAAUGUACGGCCACAUUGGGACUGAGAUACGGGCCAGACUCCGACAGGAGGGAGCAGGGGGGAAUAUUGCACAAUGCGCUCAAGCCUGAGGCAGCGACGCCGCGGGGGUGAUGAAGGCCUUCGGGUUGUAAGAACCUUACGAUAGUGACGAAGCGUUGUUGUGACGGUACCUAGAGAAUAAGCACCGGCUAACUACGUG